AACGCGAAGAACCUUACCUAGGCUUGAAAUCCUGAAAAGAUCGACCAAAAUUGAUUGUGCCCUUCGGGGAAUUCAGUGACAGGCGCUGCAUGGCUGUCGUCAGCUCGUGUCGUGAGAUGUUGGGUUAAGUCUCGCAACGAGCGCAACCCCUAUCUUUAGUUGCCAGCAUUUAGUUGGGCACUCUAGAGAGACUGCCUGGGUUAACCAGGAGGAAGGUGGGGAUGACGUCAAGUCCUCAUGGCCCUUAUGCCUAGGGCUACACACGUAAUACAAUGGUGCAUACAAAGGGACGCGACCUGGUAACAGUGAGCAAAUCUCAAAAAGUGCAUCUCAGUCCGGAUUGAAGUCUGCAACUCGACUUCAUGAAGUUGGAAUCGCUAGUA
rnacentral:rRNA from 1 species